GAUGAACGCUAGCGGGAGGCUUAACACAUGCAAGUCGAGGGGCAGCACGAGGUAGCAAUACUCUGAUGGCGACCGGCAGACGGGUGAGUAACGCGUAUGUAACCUACCCUGUACAGGGGGAUAGCCCGGAGAAAUUCGGAUUAAUACCCCAUAAUGAUAUUUUAAGGCAUCUUAGAAUAUUUAAAGCUUCGGCGGUACGGGAUGGGCAUGCGUGACAUUAGCUAGUUGGUAAGGUAACGGCUUACCAAGGCUUCGAUGUCUAGGGGUCCUGAGAGGGUGAUCCCCCACACUGGUACUGAGACACGGACCAGACUCCUACGGGAGGCAG
rnacentral:rRNA from 1 species